GGGGUAUCGCCAAGCGGUAAGGCACCGGAUUCUGAUUCCGGCAUUCCGAGGUUCGAAUCC
rnacentral:tRNA from 2 species